CAGCCGCCGCGGGAAUACGAAGGGUGCAAGCGUUAAUCGGAAUUACUGGGCGUAAAGCGUGCGUAGGCGGUUUGUUAAGUCUGUUGUGAAAUCCCCGGGCUCAACCUGGGAAUGGCAAUGGAUACUGGCAAGCUAGAGUGUGUCAGAGGAUGGUGGAAUUCCCGGUGUAGCGGUGAAAUGCGUAGAGAUCGGGAGGAACAUUAGUGGCGAAGGCGGCCAUCUGGGACAACACUGACGCUGAGGCACGAAAGCGUUGGGAGCAAACAGGAUUAGAUACCCCUGUAGUCCCUGUCUCUUAUAC
rnacentral:rRNA from 1 species